AAUGUCUUACUUCACUGACUUGUC
rnacentral:siRNA from 1 species